rnacentral:rRNA from 1 species
GAUGAACGCUGGCGGCGUGCCUAAUACAUGCAAGUCGAGCGAACAGAUAAGGAUCUUGCUCCUUUGACGUUAGCGGCGGACGGGUGAGUAACACGUGGGUAACCUACCUAUAAGUCUGGAAUAACUCCGGGAAACCGGCGCUAAUCCCGGAUAACAUUUAGAACCGCAUGGUUCUAAAGUGAAUGUUGGUUUUGCUAUCACUUAUAGAUGGUCCGGGGCCGUAUUAGCUAGUUGGUAAGGUAACGGCUUACCAAGGCAACGAUACGUAACCGACCUGAGAGGGUGAUCGGCCACACUGGAACGGAGACACGGACCAGACGCCUACGGGAGGGAGCAGAAGGGAAUAUUAGGCAGUGGGCGAAAGCCUGACGGAGCAAGGCCGCGUGAGAGAUGAAGGUCUUCGGAUCGUAAAACUCUGUUAUUAGGGAAGAACAAAUGUGUAAGUAACUGUGCACGUCUUGACGGUAACUAAUCAGAAAGCAACGGCUAACUACGUG